ACGAACGCUGGCGGCAUGCCUAACACAUGCAAGUCGAACGCGACCUUCGGGUCUAGUGGCGCACGGGUGCGUAACGCGUGGGAAUCUGCCCUUGGGUUCGGAAUAACAGUUGGAAACGACUGCUAAUACCGGAUGAUGACGUAAGUCCAAAGAUUUAUCGCCCAGGGAUGAGCCCGCGUAGGAUUAGCUAGUUGGUGGGGUAAAGGCCUACCAAGGCGACGAUCCUUAGCUGGUCUGAGAGGAUGAUCAGCCACACUGGGACUGAGACACGGCCCAGACUCCUACGGGAGGCAGCAGUGGGGAAUAUUGGACAAUGGGCGAAAGCCUGAUCCAGCAAUGCCGCGUGAGUGAUGAAGGCCUUAGGGUUGUAAAGCUCUUUUACCCGGGAUGAUAAUGACAGUACCGGGAGAAUAAGCCCCGGCUAACUCCGU
rnacentral:rRNA from 1 species